rnacentral:siRNA from 1 species
GAUGGGUUGAGUUGUUAAAUGGGU